rnacentral:rRNA from 1 species
UACGAAGGUGGCAAGCGUUGUUCGGAUUUACUGGGCGUACAGGGCGCGUAGGCGGUUGGAUAAGCCCUCCGUGAAAUCUCCAGGCUUAACCUGGAAAGUGCAGAGGGGACUGUUCAGCUAGAGGAUGGGAGAGGAGCGCGGAAUUCCCGGUGUAGCGGUGAAAUGCGUAGAGAUCGGGAGGAAGGCCGGUGGCGAAGGCGGCGCUCUGGAACAUUUCUGACGCUGAGGCUCGAAAGCGCGGGGAGCAAACAGG